rnacentral:rRNA from 1 species
UGCCUCAUACAGGGGGAUAACAGUUAGAAAUGACUGCUAAUACCGCAUAAGCGCACAGAAUCGCAUGAUAAUGUGUGAAAAACUCCGGUGGUAUGAGAUGGACCCGCGUCUGAUUAGCUAGUUGGUGGGGUAAAGGCCUACCAAGGCGACGAUCAGUAGCCGACCUGAGAGGGUGAUCGGCCACAUUGGGACUGAGACACGGCCCAAACUCCUACGGGAGGCAGCAGUGGGGAAUAUUGCACAAUGGGGGAAACCCUGAUGCAGCAACGCCGCGUGAGCGAAGAAGUAUUUCGAUAUGUAAAGCUCUAUCAGCAGGGAAGAAGAUGACGGUACCUGAGUAAGAAGCCCCGGCUAACUACGUGCCAGCAGCCGCGGUAAUACGUAGGGGGCAAGCGUUAUCCGGAUUUACUGGGUGUAAAGGGAGCGUAGACGGCAUAGCAAGUCUGAAGUGAAAGCCCAAGGCUCAACCAUGGGACUGCUUUGGAAACUGUUAAGCUAGAGUGCUGGAGAGGUAAGCGGAAUUCCUAGUGUAGCGGUGAAAUGCGUAGAUAUUAGGAAGAACACCAGUGGCGAAGGCGGCUUACUGGACAGUAACUGACGUUGAGGCUCGAAAGCGUGGGGAGCAAACAGGAUUAGAUACCCUGGUAGCCCACGCAAUAAACGAUGAAUGCUUGGUGUUGGGGAGCAAAGCUUUUCGGUGCCGCCGCAAACGCAAU